AUUGCUCUCAUUCCUAAAAAGCUUGUUCCUCAAGUGCCUAUGGACUACCGACCUAUUAGUCUUUGUAAUGUUGUUUAUAAGAUCAUUGCCAAAUCUCUUGCCAACAGGAUUAAGCCUCACCUUCCUAGUUAUAUAAAUCCUGCUCAACAAGCUUUUAUCGAGGGUAGG
rnacentral:rRNA from 1 species